UUAAAUUGAAGAGUUUGAUCAUGGCUCAGAUUGAACGCUGGCGGCAGGCCUAACACAUGCAAGUCGAACGGUAACAGGAAGCAGCUUGCUGCUUUGCUGACGAGUGGCGGACGGGUGAGUAAUGUCUGGGAAACUGCCUGAUGGAGGGGGAUAACUACUGGAAACGGUGGCUAAUACCGCAUAACGUCGCAAGACCAAAGAGGGGGACCUUCGGGCCUCUUGCCAUCAGAUGUGCCCAGAUGGGAUUAGCUUGUUGGUGAGGUAACGGCUCACCAAGGCGACGAUCCCUAGCUGGUCUGAGAGGAUGACCAGCCACACUGGAACUGAGACACGGUCCAGACUCCUACGGGAGGCAGCAGUGGGGAAUAUUGCACAAUGGGCGCAAGCCUGAUGCAGCCAUGCCGCGUGUAUGAAGAAGGCCUUCGGGUUGUAAAGUACUUUCAGCGGGGAGGAAGGUGUUGUGGUUAAUAACCGCAGCAAUUGACGUUACCCGCAGAAGAAGCACCGGCUAACUCCGUGCCAGCAGCCGCGGUAAUACGGAGGGUGCAAGCGUUAAUCGGAAUUACUGGGCGUAAAGCGCACGCAGGCGGUCUGUCAAGUCGGAUGUGAAAUCCCCGGGCUCAACCUGGGAACUGCAUUCGAAACUGGCAGGCUUGAGUCUUGUAGAGGGGGGUAGAAUUCCAGGUGUAGCGGUGAAAUGCGUAGAGAUCUGGAGGAAUACCGGUGGCGAAGGCGGCCCCCUGGACAAAGACUGACGCUCAGGUGCGAAAGCGUGGGGAGCAAACAGGAUUAGAUACCCUGGUAGUCCACGCCGUAAACGAUGUCUACUUGGAGGUUGUGCCCUUGAGGCGUGGCUUCCGGAGCUAACGCGUUAAGUAGACCGCCUGGGGAGUACGGCCGCAAGGUUAAAACUCAAAUGAAUUGACGGGGGCCCGCACAAGCGGUGGAGCAUGUGGUUUAAUUCGAUGCAACGCGAAGAACCUUACCUGGUCUUGACAUCCACGGAAGUUUUCAGAGAUGAGAAUGUGCCUUCGGGAACCGUGAGACAGGUGCUGCAUGGCUGUCGUCAGCUCGUGUUGUGAAAUGUUGGGUUAAGUCCCGCAACGAGCGCAACCCUUAUCCUUUGUUGCCAGCGAUUAGGUCGGGAACUCAAAGGAGACUGCCAGUGAUAAACUGGAGGAAGGUGGGGAUGACGUCAAGUCAUCAUGGCCCUUACGACCAGGGCUACACACGUGCUACAAUGGCGCAUACAAAGAGAAGCGACCUCGCGAGAGCAAGCGGACCUCAUAAAGUGCGUCGUAGUCCGGAUUGGAGUCUGCAACUCGACUCCAUGAAGUCGGAAUCGCUAGUAAUCGUGGAUCAGAAUGCCACGGUGAAUACGUUCCCGGGCCUUGUACACACCGCCCGUCACACCAUGGGAGUGGGUUGCAAAAGAAGUAGGUAGCUUAACCUUCGGGAGGGCGCUUACCACUUUGUGAUUCAUGACUGGGGUGAAGUCGUAACAAGGUAACCGUAGGGGAACCUGCGGUUGGAUCACCUCCUUACC
rnacentral:rRNA from 1 species